GGCCGAGAGAGUACAACCCUGCAGAUAUUAUUCAGAACAGACUGAGACGUAGCGUGAGGCUGUAUCGUUAGCGGUGUCAUAGGUUUGACAGGUUUUCUUUGUUCCUUUUUCAGAGCACAUGAGUUAUUAAUGUCUGUCAGGACCCAGAAUCUUAAAAAGUGGGGAAUCCACUCCCACGCACUCAGCAGCACAAAAACAAUUCACUAGAAAGAUUCAGAUUCAGAUUUGACUCCCUGCAUGUGGCCUCUCAAACAUCCAGAGGAGCAGGAUCAUUUCCUUUCUCCGACAAAUGAUCCCUUGUUAUUUCCUGUCCCUGAUCACAUAAAUGAUUGAAUCCUUGUUGAUAUAAAGUGCGAUCGCUGCGACCCCCCCCUCCGCCCCGAUCACCUCCAGUCCAGCUCAGCAGGGUUCAGAUCCAGACUCAGAAACCCACUCCUCAUCACAUCCUGACUUCUUCUAUCACCACCAGGGUCUA